UCCCCUCGCCCCGCCUUUGAUCACGCGAAGACGUUCGCUCUCAGCUCCCAGUUUCUCAAAUAAUGUGAAAGCUUUUACAAUGCAGAGAGAACGAGAGAGGGAGAGAACGAGAAAUAAUGUUAAGCAGAUCACUCGAUUCUAGUUUCCGUGGAUUGCACCUCCGAGAAACUGUCUAAUCAUUAAGAUAACAGUUAAAAAAUUACUGCAAAAGCUGACUCCUAUUCUGAGGGUUGGUAUCAGAAACUGGCUAUCCCUACAGUCACACAAGCUUCAAGUCUGGUCGGACUCACCUUAAGG